GAUACCCUGGUAGUCCACGCAGUAAACGAUGAGCACUAAUUGUCCGGUCCGAAUGAGGACUGGGUGAUACAGCGAAAGCGUUAAGUGCUCCACCUGGGGAGUACGCCGGCAACGGUGAAACUCAAAGGAAUUGACGGGGGCCCGCACAAGCGGAGGAACAUGUGGUUUAAUUCGAUGAUACGCGAGGAACCUUACCCGGGCUCAAACGCGGCGUGAAUACUUUUGAAAGGAGGUAGUCAGCAAUGACACGCCGCGAGGUGCUGCAUGGUUGUCGUCAGCUCGUGCCGUGAGGUGUCGGCUUAAGUGCCAUAACGAGCGCAACCCCUACCGUCAGUUGCCAACAGGUAAGGCUGGGGACUCUGACGGGACUGCCGGCGCAAGCUGCGAGGAAGGCGGGGAUGACGUCAAAUCAGCACGGCCCUUACGUCCGGGGCGACACACGUGUUACAAUGGCAGGUACAGCGGGAAGCCACCUGGCGACAGGGCGCGGAACCCGAAAACCUGUCUCAGUUCGGAUUGGAGUCUGCAACCCGACUCCAUGAAGCUGGAUUCGCUAGUAAUCGCGCAUCAGCCACGGCGCGGUGAAUACGUUCCCGGGCCUUGUACACACCGCCCGUCAAGCCAUGGAAGCCGGGAGUGCCUGAAGUGCGUGACCGCAAGGAGCGCCCUAAGGCAAUACCGGUGACUGGGGCUAAGUCGUAACAA
rnacentral:rRNA from 1 species